rnacentral:lncRNA from 1 species
UUGAUAUUCAGCCUACUUAACUCGUCAUCACAAUUGCUCGAAUUCAGAUUUGAAUAAUGACUAUUGUAUAUUCAUAGUGCCCAAGGCCAUUGACGACAACAAUCAGAUAACAUUUACUAUCAUUAAAUGAUACUACUUAUGUUAUCAUCAUUAUCGUCAUCAUUUUUAUUGUUAUUGCAUAUCAAAAUAUCGAUUUUUUUU